GCUGAUCACAGCCCUGAACAAAAGCAUCCGAUACACAUUUGUCAGUCUGGUGGCUUUGGUGCCAGGACUACCUACAGCAGGCCGAUGACAGCCACUCGGUUGUCACCAGACACAGUGUGAGGGAAGGGGGAGGGGACAGGGGAACUCUCAGAGCACACAAUCACAAACACACUGUGAAAUCGAAAAUAAAUUACAAAAACUAAAUAGUAUAAAUAAAUUAAAAUUUAAGUUAAGAAGAGUCCCACAGUGUGGCUGUUUGGCAACAACCAGUCCAUAGAAGAGGUAGCUGUGGAGGUCACAGGGAUGUUCCCAAGGCUCAGAAGAAAAGACCAGGCAGCUUCUGAUCCCCAAGCAGUUGAGGAAGGCAGGCUUGCUCAGACCAAGUGACUGGAAGGCAUUUGGGCAUUUUUGCUGAGAAACGUCUCUUUGUUUCUGUCUAUAUUCUUCUUUCCCCUUGACUCCUCAUAGUGGGUUCUCCGUUUCUCUAUGUGAUCCAGAUACCUGAACGGAGUGUUCUCUUGCUCUCUUCAGGGAAUUUUGUCUGGUUCAAGAAGUCAUACCCCAGCCCAAGAGAAGCCCUGGACAUCUCUCAUAAGACAUCCAAGGGACAGAGCUCCUGGGAGACCUAGAGUGAGCUGGAGAGUGAACAACAGACCCCACUGGGAAGGAAGCAGCCCUGGAUUCUGCCUCUUGCUAACUGAUUCGUUUUGAACCCUGUUUUACUAUCUGUCCAAGGGACUGUAACUCCCCUGCCCCUGCCUAGAUUCUCAUACCUGGAGACUAGGGGGCUAAGACCCCUUCUAGAGAUAAAAAUAAAAGUCUUGAAGAGAAAGACCAAGAUGUUUGGCAGCCCUUUAAGAAGUUGUCUUUUCUCUUGGGGGCUUUUAGGCCACAAGAAAAGAUUGAUGUGGUCUAACCAUGGCCAGAGAGUGGUGAUACCCACAACGAAACUCAGACUCACAUGAUGCAGAGAACUGGUUGCAGAGAGCCAUGGUGCAGAGGAGGACGGCAAGGGCAGCAGUGGAGACCUGCAUGAUUGUGAGCAGGUGAUGGAAUGUGGGCUCGAGUGUCAGCAGAGCCAAGAAGGGACUGACCACUGUCUGCUGCCUG
rnacentral:antisense_RNA from 1 species